rnacentral:rRNA from 1 species
CCUACGGGAGGCAGCAGUGAGGAAUAUUGGUCAAUGGGCGCGAGCCUGAACCAGCCAAGUAGCGUGAAGGAUGACUGCCCUACGGGUUGUAAACUUCUUUUAUAAAGGAAUAAAGUGAGGCUCGUGUGCCUUUUUGUAUGUGCUUUAUGAAUAAGGAUCGGCUAACUCCGUGCCAGCAGCCGCGGUAAUACGGAGGAUCCGAGCGUUAUCCGGAUUUAUUGGGUGUAAAGGGAGCGGAGAUGGGUUGUUAAGUCAGUUGUGAAAGUUUGCGGCUCAACCGUAAAAUUGCAAUUGAUACUGGAAGUCUUGAGUACAGUUGAGGUAGGCGGAAUUCGUGGUGUAGCGGUGAAAUGCUUAGAUAUCACGAAGAACUCCGAUUGCGAAGGCAGCUUACUAAGCUGCAACUGACAUUGAUGCUCGAAAGUGUGGGUAUCAAACAGGAUUAGAUACCCGGGUAGUC